UCGAUUACAACUUGUCAUGAUGUUGUUGCAUGCACACAAACGUUUGGAGAUGUAUUAUUGAUAGGCCAGCAGUCUACCCGCAUGAAAAAGCAACGCGCACUAGCUGAUACAUGCAUUACGGAGCACAGAAAGAAAAAGAAAUACAUAUGAAAACUACUGCAGUGCCUUUGCAGAGCGGCUAAGCUUCAGAGUUUGUGCAUGAAGAUCAUGGCCAUGGCUCGCAGGUUCAGGAGCCCCAUGAUAAAAAUGUUCUUCAAAAUGCUUGAUUCUGUUCGAGAAGAGAUACGUGGCGAUGGACCGAUGCAUGCGAAAUCAGAUGUCGGGCACGCUGAAGUAUUAUAUGUACUUGUUUGCCCACUUCCAGAAUCUGCAUCCUCCAUGCUGCAACGAAAGAAAAAGAGAUUAGUCUGGAAUGAAGAACAUGGAUGGAAAGGAACUUCAAAAACGUACUCAAUGUCGUAGCCCGCGUUGCAUUCAGGGAAACGUAUGAGGGAGAGGGGGAAACUGGUUGGUGGUGUGGUGCGAUGCAGGUGGUGUGGAACUGCGCUGGGACUGGGAGCCACGGACAUGGAUGAACACAUGCUUGUCAGCUGAGGCAAAGGAUCAGAGGAAUGCAGAAGGAGAACGGCGAAAAAAUAUGCACAAAUUAUUCAUACUAUUUGCACCAUUUGCAUAACUAUUUUGCCUACCUACUGAUUCCUUCAUUUCCAUAAGCUAGCAAAGUGUUCUGGACAGAUCACACAUAUCCAUGCUAAUCACCAACCUCAC
rnacentral:lncRNA from 1 species